rnacentral:rRNA from 1 species
GUGGGGAAUAUUCCGCAAUGGACGAAAGUCUGACGGAGCAACGCCGCGUGAGUGAUGAAGGUUUUCGGACUGUAAAGCUCUGUUGUUUAGGACGAAAGUGCCUGUUGCAAAUAGUUACAGGUAUUGACGGUACUGAACGAGGAAGCCACGGCUAACUACGUGCCAGCAGCCGCGGUAAUACGUAGGUGGCAAGCGUUGUCCGGAAUUAUUGGGCGUAAAGAGCAUGUAGGCGGGAAUCUAAGUCUGUUGUGAAAAUGCGGGGCUCAACCCCGUAUUGCGAUGGAAACUGGGUUGCUUGAGUGCAGGAGAGGAAAGGGGAAUUCCCAGUGUAGCGGUGAAAUGCGUAGAUAUUGGGAGGAACACCAGUGGCGAAGGCGCCUUUCUGGACUGUGUCUGACGCUGAGAUGCGAAAGCCAGGGUAGCGAACGGGAUUAGAAACCCUAGUAGUCC